CCUACGGGUGGCAGCAGUGAGGAAUAUUGGUCAAUGGACGAGAGUCUGAACCAGCCAAGUAGCGUGAAGGAUGACUGCCCUAUGGGUUGUAAACUUCUUUUAUAUGGGAAUAAAACGUUCCACGUGUGGGAUUUUGUAUGUACCAUAUGACUAAGGAUCGGCUAACUCCGUGCCAGCAGCCGCGGUAAUACGGAGGAUCCGAGCGUUAUCCGGAUUUAUUGGGUGUAAAGGGAGCGUAGGUGGAUUGUUAAGUCAGUUGUGAAAGUUUGCGGCUCAACCGUAAAAUUGCAGUUGAAACUGGCAGUCUUGAGUACAGUAGAGGUGGGCGGAAUGCGUGGUGUAGCGGUGAAAUGCUUAGAUAUCACGAAGAACUCCGAUUGCGAAGGCAGUUCACUGGACUGCAACUGACACUGAGGCUCGAAAGUGUGGGUAUCAAACAGGAUUAGAUACCCGGGUAGUC
rnacentral:rRNA from 1 species